rnacentral:misc_RNA from 1 species
UCUCCGUUGGUGAACCAGCGGAGGGAUCAUUGCUGGAACAAACCGUUCUUCCGGAACGGCUACCCAGAAACCCUUUGUGAACUUAUACCUACAACUGUUGCCUCGGCGCAGGCUGGGAGCUUCUGUAAACUCCCCCACGCGGACUCGCCUCCGCGCGGAGCAGGCCCGCCGGCGGCCCCUACCAAACCUCUUGUUUUUACAGUGUCUCCUCUGAGUUACAAACACAAAUGAAUCAAAACUUUCAACAACGGAUCUCUUGGUUCUGGCAUCGAUGAAGAACGCAGC